GAGUUCAAACCGGUGUAAGCCAGGUUGGUUUCUAUCUUUUAAAAAUUUAAAUAUUCUAGUACGAAAGGAUUGAAUAUUUUAAUUAAAUUAUAAUUAAUAAUGAAUAUUAUUAAUAGUUAAAAAAAUAUUAAUUUAUUUAAUUUUAAUUAUUUAAUUAUGA
rnacentral:rRNA from 1 species